UUUCCCUAAACAGGUUUUGGAAACAAAACCUGCUUUUGGGAGCCUGCGGGUGCGAUUGGGCAGCGGCCAGACAACCGUAGGGAUGGUUUCCACAGGUGACGGGUUUUGCUAUCUCGUUUCAUCUACUAAAUCCCAUCUCACAUUU